GAUUUCGGAACGCGAACAAAAUUAUCGGAUUGUCGGUUUGUCGGAUCGGGAAAAUUAUUUCCUCAGAUUUCCCAGAUUGUGUCGUCGACAAGCUGGAAAGGGCCUCAACGAGCCUUUGAACCAACGCUCCCGGAGCGGGACAGCAGAUUAGUCUGGUCGGAAAUUUUUCAGUGUCGGCGAAUGCGCUCGAGCUCCUCAACCUCCCUCGAUUUCGGAUAUUGGACAACGUCGGAAGACAUUGUGACGAAAGCUG